CAUGUUUAGACAACAGAGAUAUUAAAUUAUUCCCUAAAAUGAAAUAAGUGAAGUUUCUAGGCUGGAACUUAAAUGUCAUUGUUCAUGUUUAUUUAUAGCUGUACAACGUGUUCUGGCUAUUUCUGGAGGUUUGGGGCCAGUCUAAAUGGCUCUGCCUAGGCCUCUGUGAACCUUCCUUCCCUAACUCCAGAGUCACAUGUUGGUAGCUGGUGCGGCUACUCAGCAUACCAGGGGUAGCAGAUUGGGGUUGCCUUAAUAGUCUUGGAUUUUAGAACCGGGAUAAUGAAGUUCUGGCUAACUGCCAAAUAAAUGCUUAAUAAUAAAAAUCAAAUAGAUAUGCAUUCACCAGACAAAACAGAUGACAGUUCACCCUUUUGAAUAACAAAUCCAACAAUUCAAGAAUACAGAAGAAAGGACAAGAAAGCAAACUAUAAAAAGCAGCAGCAGUGUACUGCCAUGUUAAGUCCUAUUAUAUUGGUUUUGUUUUAAUCUUACUCUCUGCUGCUUCACAGCUGACUCUCAGACCACACCUCUUGAUAAUUCUCCAUGAUUACUGAUCAUUUAUUCACUGCUUGGAUUGAGAGCCAAACACCAGAAAGGCCUCUGGUUAGUUUCUUCUCUGAGUCUUUAAAAUAGCCAGUUUAUUUUUAUAGGCUAGUUUGAAGUACUUUUCACAUUAAGCAACAUCACCCAUCACCCCUCUGUAGUAUUUUUAGCAUUCAGCAACUCCCUCUGCAGCCUUUGGGUCAGCCUUUCUCCAUGUUUUCUGUAACUCCACGAAUGAUGAUCUCCUAAUGGGGCACGUUCUUCACUUCUUUUGUUUUCUCCCUUUCCCUCCCAAGUUGUGCUCUGUAGCUCUGUCUCAGCUUUGCCUUUGUUUCUCAGCUUUGGUUGUCCCUGCUGACUACUUUGAGCUGAUCCAGGGUCAGAGAAAGUCUAGUGGGGACGUCACUGAUUCUGCUGGUAUCUAACAAGCUCCAGAAUUGAGUGAAAACUUUUGCAAAUUGUUUUGUUACUGAGAAAACAUCUCUAAGCUGAAGAUACUCACAUGUCUCCACGCAUGGUACUUGUGGCAGCUCCACUGUGAAUGUACCCAGGUUUUCGGGCAUGGAUUUGAGCUAGAAAAGCCUUUUCAGAGGUUGGUGAGGGAACAAGAUCCUCAAACUGAGUCCGUGAAAAUUCAGAAUCCACAUUACUCUCUGUUUCACUCCCCACCUCUAUCAGAUACAAUUGAAGACACAUAAAAAUUGUUAGAUUUUUUAAUGACCUGGAAAUAAAAGAGUAGGCU